rnacentral:rRNA from 1 species
GUUAGGAAUAUUGGACAAUGGGCGCAAGCCUGAUCCAGCCAUGCCGCGUGAGUGAUGAAGGCCUUCGGGUUGUAUAGCUCUUUAGUCCACGAAUAUAAUGACUGUAGUGGAAGAAUAAGCCCCGGCUAACUUCGUGCCAGCAGCCGCGGUAAUACGAAGGGGGCGAGCGUUAUUCGGAAUCACUGGGCGUAAAGCGUGCGUAGGCUGUUUUGUAAGUCAGAAGUGAAAGCCCAGGGCUUAACCCUGGAAUUGCUUUUGAAACUACAAGACUCGAAUUCGGGAGAGGAUAGCGGAAUUGUCAGUGUAGCAGUGAAAUGCGUAGAUAUUGACAGGAACACCAGUGGCGCAAGCGGCUAUCUGGACCGAUAUUGACGCUGAGGCACGAAAGCGUGGGGAGCAAACAGGAUUAGAUACCCGAGUAGUCC